rnacentral:piRNA from 1 species
UGUGUGAUCUGUAUUUGUUUC